rnacentral:rRNA from 1 species
GACGAACGCUGGCGGCGUGCUUAACACAUGCAAGUCGAACGGAAAGGCCCUGCUUUUGUGGGGUGCUCGAGUGGCGAACGGGUGAGUAACACGUGAGUAACCUGCCCUUGACUUUGGGAUAACUUCAGGAAACUGGGGCUAAUACCGGAUAGGAGCUCCUGCUGCAUGGUGGGGGUUGGAAAGUUUCGGCGGUUGGGGAUGGACUCGCGGCUUAUCCGCUUGUUGGUGGGGUAGUGGCUUACCAAGGCUUUGACGGGUAGCCGGCCUGAGAGGGUGACCGGCCACAUUGGGACUGAGAUACGGCCCAGACUCCUACGGGAGGCAGCGGUGGGGAAUAUUGCACAAUGGGCGGAAGCCUGAUGCAGCAACGCCGCGUGCGGGAUGACGGCCUUCGGGUUGUAAACCGCUUUCGCAUGUGACGAAGCGGGAGUGACGGUAAUGGGUAAAGAAGCACCGGCUAACUACGUG